AACGAACGCUGGCGGCGUGCCUAACACAUGCAAGUCGUGCGAGAAAGUUCCUUCGGGAGCGAGUAAAGCGGCGCACGGGUGAGUAACACGUAGGUAACCUGCCCCCCAGUCUGGAACAACUAGAGGAAACUCUAGCUAAUGCCGGAUGAGACCACGAUCCCUUCGGGGUUGCGGCCAAAGAUGGCCUCUACUUGUAAGCUAUCGCUGAGGGAUGGGCCUGCGGGCCAUUAGCUUGUUGGUGAGGUAACGGCUCACCAAGGCUGUGAUGGCUAGCUGGUCUGAGAGGAUGACCAGCCACACUGGGACUGAGACACGGCCCAGACUCCUACGGGAGGCAGCAGUGGGGAAUAUUGCGCAAUGGGCGAAAGCCUGACGCAGCGACGCCGCGUGGGUGAUGAAGGCCUUCGGUCGUAAGACCCUGUCGCAGGGAAGGAAUAAGCAUCGGUAUAAUACGCCGGUGCCCUCGACGGUACCC
rnacentral:rRNA from 1 species